UUUGCUCAGUUGGUCAGAGCAUCCCGACCUCUGGUCGGGAGGGUCAAGGGUUCGACUCCCUUAUUCUCCA
rnacentral:tRNA from 1 species